CCAAUCUCUGCAAGUCUUCAAGAAAUAGACAGCCAUGCCGAUAUUCUCAUGAUCAUGAUCUCUGGGUCCCAUUCAUCACCCUCCCAUUGUUAGAGAAAGAGAUAUCUACCAGCCAUUGGUUGCCGGAUGUUUGAUGACUCAUUGACCUUAUCUUCCACAUAAGCUCCUCUUUGCUUCGUCCUUUACGAAAACUAAAAGUAAGCAUCAAUGGGUUCCGAGUGUCCCAGUGUUGGAUCCUUGGAGGAAAAGUCUCUUCCCCAAUGGCUAAAUGUCAUAAAGAUCAUGAAGUCUGAAGAACUUUAACCAUCUCCAUAUGCAUGUGGACCGAGAGAAAUCUUGCAGUAGUACGAGCAAGCAACGUGGUUCUGUAAGUCGUGGGAUGAUAAGGAAAUCUCCAAGCUUUGCUGUCCUGGCCCCAGCAUGGAACGAGGCUGACAAUCUCUAUCUAUGAAACCUUGGCUAAAUCUAAGUCCAUGCAGUUAAUGAUUGCUGAAUUGGGUGCAUGAACUUAGGAAAUGGAGAGGAAGAUGCAAUGAUGUGCUGAAGACAGACCGUGCUAUCAAAUGCAGAAUAUGGAAUAGUAUUGAAUGGCAUAGCCAGCAGAACAUAGCGAAGCACUCAGUCCCAUCUCCAGUUUUGUUUGCAGAAGUCAAUCGAGGUGCGGGUCAGGACAUGAAACAGCUAUCAUCCGAAAUCGAUCACAGGUUGAUCUGAUAAAAUCAAAUCUUUCAGAAACCUCAAAGGAAGAAGAAACCAAGUGAUUUGGACCUGUGGAUUUUUAGCCAUCUAACAUUAGUGACCCUGUUUGUGGUGAAAGAGCCACAGGCAGUUUCUUCCCUCAAGCUGAGCUGAGUCGCUGUGUGUUCAUGUUAAUUACACUCUGAGCCAUCUUCUCCAAGCUACAAACUUAGUGAGCAUACAGCCACAGCUCUAAUCAAACACCUUGAGCUGUCUGGUAUGCAAUCUCCAUGACUGCUCCGUGUUUGAGCAAAUACAGAUUUUACCUGAUCAAUACAAAGUCCACGUGCCUUUGCUUUGGAUGCCCUGAGCAGAGAAAACUUGGUCCAAACCUAGGAAUCAUGUUUGGAUCAAUCUAGCUGAGAAGGAAUAAUAUAUGUAGGCAACCAAAGAAAGAAUCAACUCUAGCUGAGCUGAGCCAACGAUGGUACAUGCUUAAGAGUCCUAUCUUUCACUGAUCAGUAAAGCCUCACUCGCCUCCCACGGAUACUGGUCUCAGCUAGACAUAUUAUUGAGCUUCGCUUCACCUGUACUCGCUGCCUUCCACAUCUACUUCUCCAUCGGUCAGUCCAAAAGUAAAGCCAGCCAUGCUAGUGUCUUCCGCCGCCGCAGCAGCCUAAGGUUGUCAACAGUCACUGGUCCUGCGUCCUCCGCGACUCUCACUCUCCCUGCGGCAGAGGAAGCCCACGCUCGAUCCUCGCCUCUUCUGCAAGAAGACGAGGAACGGUCGAAACUGAUCAGAUACCUUUACCUUGGUAAUUUUGCAAGCCGGAUUUAUAGAUCGAACCGUAACCUGAACCGGAUUCUUCGGUUCGAUUAGGUUCUCGAAUCAGUACAGUGCCGUUUAAUAGGCACCCGGUCAGCGCUGACUUGGCCUCUGUUUUCGUUCGAUUUGUCGAACACACGGAGAGGCAAUCUGCUAUGUUCCUCGAUAUAUCCCGGAUCUGUCUUCCUCCCCCGUUCUUCUUAUCUCUGUCGAACGAUGAUGAGACCUCUCCAUCUCGUUCCCUUCCUCCCCGGUGGUAGUGCGUCUUUAAAGGUAGCUCUUUGAAGUAGGGGCUAUAGAAAAGUUCGGCUUUUGGUAAGAGGAGUUGGGGAAUGGCUAGCUAUAUGAAGGGUAACUUCGGUAGGGAGGAGGAGAACCACUAGUGGGAGAAGGCCGUCCAUCGACGGCGGAAACUGUGCGGCGUCGUCGCCGGGUGUUGGUUUUUGGUAUCUACUGCACUGCUUCGGUUGACAUUCCAUGGGUUGACUCUCCAGUGUAUGAAAUUAACAGGGAAUGCCUUGGCAAAACAUCUGCGCGCACCAUGUUUGAUGAAGUUAUCGUUGUAUUACUGGCAAUAGGUGUUGCAGGAACUGAGGUGGAGAAAAGAUUGCCAUUGUUGUCAUCAUCAUGGAUGAAAAAAUCUCAACUAUUUUGACUUUGGAAAAAGGGGAUUUUUCUGUAUACAUAUUAGCAUUCAGAAAUUUGCACAAUUUCAGCUGACUUUGCUCUAAUUGUAAACUUUUUAUCAGCAUGGUUAACAGAACAUGCUCCUACCGGAGUGGUUCAGCUGCUUUGGGUAAACUUGGUUAUGGACAAACUUGGAGCACUUGCAUUAACCGCUAGGCCUCCUAAUGAUGAGUAAAUGAAGCAAGCUCCGGUUGGAAGGGAAGGCAAUCAUAUAAGCAAUGCAAUGUAGAGGUCGUCAAUUCGAUGAGCUCUAGAGAGAUGGAGAAGAUAGAUGCAUUCCAGGGCAUAGUAAUCGAAUAGCUGUGUAAUUGUGUGUCACUAAUUGCACCAUCAUAUUACAAUCUAUAAAUGUCAAAUUUCUUGGAGAUUUCACAAAUACAACACCAUUGUCAUUCUCCUAGUGAGUGGUAUGCAUGUUGAUUGGAUUCCUUGGUAUACCCAUUUCUGCCACAGUUAAAAGGAUUCCGAUAUAUUCCAAUCUGAAAAUCCAAAAGCCAAACUGGUGCAGAAGGUAUUGAUUUUAUGCUAUAAUGGCUUCUUUACAUGACUUGAUACAGGUGUUUGUGAAAAAGGACAUAUGAAGCCAGCCAUGAGAAUAUUCUAUGGCAAAUUGGAUUUUAAAUCACUGGUGAUGGUUUGUGGGAGUUUUCCAUGGAACUCAGAUCAUUUGCACUAGGACUAGAUGCAGAGGUCUAACCAUCUUUAAACUGCAGAUUCCUAUUCUUUGGUCAAGAAAUGACCAGUAGAUCGAUCUCUUCUUGUUCACUGAUCCAUAAUGGGUCAAACAAGUCUACAUUAGUUCCAAAUAACUCUUUAUUUUGUUCUUCCCUCUAUGCUACCCACAUGUUGGAAGCAGUAAAAAGAACAAAGAUCAAGGAGGUGAUCUUGCAUUUUGCUCCACACACAGUUUCAUGCUAAGACAAAUCUGAUCCAUGUGACAGAGGAAUUGCAAAGGCAGAAAACAGAAACGAACAAGAUGUGUGUGACAACACUGCAGAGCUAUGUUGGAAGGAUAGAUGCUUUAGUCUUGUUCAAGGUUCACGAGAAGAAGAGGAGGUUUCCUUGUACCUAUGCAUCUUGCUACAUGAAAGUUUCUUUAGUUGCGGCAGAUGUUGGCCAAAGAUGUUCAUUGGUAAAACAAGACAGUAAAAUUUCUGCUCAAGUCUUCUAGUAGAUAUCACUGAAUUCAUUGUUUGGAAAGGACAAGACUCAUCAUCACUGCAUAUACUAGAAGUCCUAAGCCACUGUAUACACCACAAUCAUCACUGCCACCAGACCUGGAGAAGUGUUCUCUUGACCAAGUCAAGAUGGAUGUGCCAUUGUUUUCACAUCGAGUUUGGUAAUAUUGAUUUGUUUACUUGCUGCUCCUGAGGAGAGAGAGAGAGAUCCUUGGCUUGCAAAGGUGGGCAGGCCACCAUAUGCAGCAGCCUCUCCUUUAGGGGAGCAGUUUGCUGUGUAAAUUCCAGCUGCACAGGCUUUGUUUUUGACUGCAUAUACAUCAAUCAGGGAGCAAGGAAACCCCACUGCAGCAACACCAGCCAUCUGAUCUGAGAUCAGAGAGUGGUGAGAGACAAGGAUGGGAGACUCACACAUGUUCCUCAGUGAAGGAAGGUGAAAGAUAAUGGCACCAUCACAUGCUGCUCUGGUCAGCAUGCUUACAUAAGAAAAGAAACCCACAGCUGCAGGUGGUAGAAGCUGAGGAUAUAGUUUGGCUUUCUUCAUCACUGACCCCCACCCAACUCUUCUAUCUUAUCUGCUGCUGAAUGAUAUGAAACAUUAGAUCUCAAAGUUGAGCUCCAUGGAUCAAUUUACUUAUCAUAUGGAUAAGAAGCUUUUGAAGUGGGCAUCUUGAUCAGUACAACAGACAAAUCUCCAUGAAUAGCAGCAAUAU